UGAAGCAUGUUCUUAUGUUUACUUGGAGUGAGUUGGGUCAUGCCAAAGACCACUUUUGAACUUUUGAACAGCUAGAAAGGAAUUGGAAAAAGAAGAUCUAAGGAGAACUGGUGGGAGAAUAUACCAGCAUGCAUAGACACUAUGGAAAUAAAGGAAUGCAAGAUGUUUUCAUGAUAAUGGCAGCAGCACUCAAAAGAUCAAGAUGAAGUGCCUUAGUUUACUUUAUUUUUAGUGUAAACAGGAUAUGGUGGGGGAAGUAGAAUCCUUAGUUGUUUUAUAGGAUAUCUUCUAAAGUCUAGUUUUUUUGCUGUUUCAGGGUAGUUUCAGCCUACCAAGGGAUGUAAGAUUAUACCUCAUCACCAUAUGAUGAGUUUUUUGUGUGAAUACAAAGUUACCUUUUACUCAAAAAAAUGAUGAUAAGUGAGAGUGAGCCUCUGAGCUUUUUGCCGGAGAGUGUAAAAGAGAGAUGAGAGUCCGUGAUCCGAGGUCUUUAUCGGAGUGUAAUAUGUGCUCGUGAUUCGAGAUCAUUUACCGGAGCGAGAGAGUGCUCGUGUUCGAGGUAAUUUGUCAGAACGAGGGGUACAUGAACUUCGCGGAUCCCCCGCGGGUCAUGGCUACGAGGCAUUGCACUUAGCAUGUGUGUACGGUACGGAGAGGAGACGUGGGGGCAUUGCAUAGCACUUGCAUUGCACCCCAUUUGUAUUGUACUUCAUAUCAUUGUAUCGCACAUAUCUCAUUGGAUUCUUGUUGGGGAUUUACUUGAAUUGUUGCCUGUUUGCUAAGUGAUUAGUUAGAGACUUGGCGGACUUGUGGAUAGAAGCUUUAACCUAGGCUAUGACCGGAGAAUAUUGAGACUUAUUGUGCUAUUGUUGUUGUGAAACGUUAUCCGAACAUGUUUACUGACUGUACUUGAUUGCUUAUCUGUUCUACUCGUUGAUUUCUGCUCAUUCAUAUGCAUUAUCUAAUCGUUGUCGGCCUAUGAUACCUACGAGCCUUGUGUUGUGCUCAUACUACUCUUGCUACACCCUUUAUGGACUGUAGAGUUGUUUCCAGGUUGGUGGGCGAGAUCUCGUGAUAGAUCCCGAGGAUAUCAUAGAGAUGUUUGGAAAUGCAGGGUAAGACUGCAUGCAAUGCAUCCUUGUGGUUGGGCCCUUCCCUGGAUCCCGCGCAUUGCGGAAGCUUAGUGCAUCGGGCUGCCCCUCUUUAUGAGUGUUGUGUGGCUAUAACAAGUUCUCAUUAAGCCACUGAAUGGUUGAGAGGGAAGCAAAUGGAGGAAGUACUAUCCAUAAAGAAUACGGAGAUAGCAAAACAUCUAUCUCUUCCACCUGUUAAACUGCAUUGCAGUAUGCUCCCGGAGGAUGCAAUAAAGGCUGCUGUGAAAGAUUACAAGUCAAAGCAGACAAAAUUGAGUGAUGAUGCAAAUGAAAUGGAGAAAGCAGCUGAUGCUUGAGAUACUUGUAGCAAGAAAUGAAGUGCUUCCGAGAAAUGAAAUUGAGGAGGAAGAACAAGAAUGCUUGUAUAUGUAACGUUCUUUCGGUAUUGUAACUGUAAAGUUGGCCAUUUGAUGCGUUUAUCUUGAAAUUUCUGCUGCUUGGAUGAAUCUAUGACCUCACUUUUUCCUGCCGGAGCAGUUGGAUCACUUUAUUAGACCA